UUGGAUUGGAUUUUUAGGAUGCCCUCGAGAGGCACCCUUGGCUGCCUUAUAUAGGCUGAUGACCUAGGGUUACAAGUCAGUUUGAAUCCAAUUUACUCGGUUGUUACAUGGAAGGAAAUCUGGGUUGAAUUACAAUACGUAUCCUGCAAUAUCCGGGCUGAUUUGAAUCGCACGCCCCCCUUGGCAUGUACUCCAAGUAUCUUCAUGUCCUUAGCCUGCACGUUUUGGUCGGGCAGACUCACUUGUUAGGACUGGCCAAUACCCUAUUCGGUGGGGACCCAUGGAGU
rnacentral:lncRNA from 1 species